rnacentral:rRNA from 1 species
UUAAGCGACUAAGCGUACACGGUGGAUGCCCUGGCAGUCAGAGGCGAUGAAGGACGUGCUAAUCUGCGAUAAGCGCCGGUAAGGUGAUAUGAACCGUUAUAACCGGCGAUUUCCGAAUGGGGAAACCCAGUGUGAUUCGUCACACUAUCAUUAACUGAAUCCAUAGGUUAAUGAGGCGAACCGGGGGAACUGAAACAUCUAAGUACCCCGAGGAAAAGAAAUCAACCGAGAUUCCCCCAGUAGCGGCGAGCGAACGGGGAGGAGCCCAGAGCCUGAAUCAGCAUGUGUGUUAGUGGAAGCGUCUGGAAAGGCGCGCGAUACAGGGUGACAGCCCCGUACACAAAAGCGCAUGUGCUGUGAGCUCGAUGAGUAGGGCGGGACACGUGGUAUCCUGUCUGAAUAUGGGGGGACCAUCCUCCAAGGCUAAAUACUCCUGACUGACCGAUAGUGAACCAGUACCGUGAGGGAAAGGCGAAAAGAACCCCGGCGAGGGGAGUGAAAAAGAACCUGAAACCGUGUACGUACAAGCAGUGGGAGCACCCUUUGGGGUGUGACUGCGUACCUUUUGUAUAAUGGGUCAGCGACUUAUAUUCUGUAGCAAGGUUAACCGUAUAGGGGAGCCGGAGGGAAACCGAGUCUUAAUUGGGCGUUAAGUUGCAGGGUAUAGACCCGAAACCCGGUGAUCUAGCCAUGGGCAGGUUGAAGGUUGGGUAACACUAACUGGAGGACCGAACCGACUAAUGUUGAAAAAUUAGCGGAUGACCUGUGGCUGGGGGUGAAAGGCCAAUCAAACCGGGAGAUAGCUGGUUCUCCCCGAAAGCUAUUUAGGUAGCGCCUCGUGAAUUCAUCUCCGGGGGUAGAGCACUGUUUCGGCUAGGGGGCCAUCCCGGCUUACCAACCCGAUGCAAACUGCGAAUACCGGAGAAUGUUAUCACGGGAGACACACGGCGGGUGCUAACGUCCGUCGUGAAGAGGGAAACAACCCAGACCGCCAGCUAAGGUCCCAAAGUCAUGGUUAAGUGGGAAACGAUGUGGGAAGGCCCAGACAGCCAGGAUGUUGGCUUAGAAGCAGCCAUCAUUUAAAGAAAGCGUAAUAGCUCACUGGUCGAGUCGGCCUGCGCGGAAGAUGUAACGGGGCUAAACCAUGCACCGAAGCUGCGGCAGCGACGCUUAUGCGUUGUUGGGUAGGGGAGCGUUCUGUAAGCCUGUGAAGGUGGCCUGUGAGGGUUGCUGGAGGUAUCAGAAGUGCGAAUGCUGACAUAAGUAACGAUAAAGCGGGUGAAAAGCCCGCUCGCCGGAAGACCAAGGGUUCCUGUCCAACGUUAAUCGGGGCAGGGUGAGUCGACCCCUAAGGCGAGGCCGAAAGGCGUAGUCGAUGGGAAACGGGUUAAUAUUCCCGUACUUGGUGUUACUGCGAAGGGGGGACGGAGAAGGCUAUGUUGGCCGGGCGACGGUUGUCCCGGUUUAAGCGUGUAGGCUGGUUUUCCAGGCAAAUCCGGAAAAUCAAGGCUGAGGCGUGACGACGAGGCACUACGGUGCUGAAGCAACAAAUGCCCUGCUUCCAGGAAAAGCCUCUAAGCAUCAGGUAACAUCAAAUCGUACCCCAAACCGACACAGGUGGUCAGGUAGAGAAUACCAAGGCGCUUGAGAGAACUCGGGUGAAGGAACUAGGCAAAAUGGUGCCGUAACUUCGGGAGAAGGCACGCUGACACGUAGGUGAAGUGAUUUACUCAUGGAGCUGAAGUCAGUCGAAGAUACCAGCUGGCUGCAACUGUUUAUUAAAAACACAGCACUGUGCAAACACGAAAGUGGACGUAUACGGUGUGACGCCUGCCCGGUGCCGGAAGGUUAAUUGAUGGGGUCAGCGCAAGCGAAGCUCCUGAUCGAAGCCCCGGUAAACGGCGGCCGUAACUAUAACGGUCCUAAGGUAGCGAAAUUCCUUGUCGGGUAAGUUCCGACCUGCACGAAUGGCGUAAUGAUGGCCAGGCUGUCUCCACCCGAGACUCAGUGAAAUUGAACUCGCUGUGAAGAUGCAGUGUACCCGCGGCAAGACGGAAAGACCCCGUGAACCUUUACUAUAGCUUGACACUGAACAUUGAGCCUUGAUGUGUAGGAUAGGUGGGAGGCUUUGAAGUGUGGACGCCAGUCUGCAUGGAGCCGACCUUGAAAUACCACCCUUUAAUGUUUGAUGUUCUAACGUGGACCCGUUACCCGGGUUGCGGACAGUGUCUGGUGGGUAGUUUGACUGGGGCGGUCUCCUCCUAAAGAGUAACGGAGGAGCACGAAGGUUGGCUAAUCCUGGUCGGACAUCAGGAGGUUAGUGCAAUGGCAUAAGCCAGCUUGACUGCGAGCGUGACGGCGCGAGCAGGUGCGAAAGCAGGUCAUAGUGAUCCGGUGGUUCUGAAUGGAAGGGCCAUCGCUCAACGGAUAAAAGGUACUCCGGGGAUAACAGGCUGAUACCGCCCAAGAGUUCAUAUCGACGGCGGUGUUUGGCACCUCGAUGUCGGCUCAUCACAUCCUGGGGCUGAAGUAGGUCCCAAGGGUAUGGCUGUUCGCCAUUUAAAGUGGUACGCGAGCUGGGUUUAGAACGUCGUGAGACAGUUCGGUCCCUAUCUGCCGUGGGCGCUGGAGAACUGAGGGGGGCUGCUCCUAGUACGAGAGGACCGGAGUGGACGCAUCACUGGUGUUCGGGUUGUCAUGCCAAUGGCACUGCCCGGUAGCUAAAUGCGGAAGAGAUAAGUGCUGAAAGCAUCUAAGCACGAAACUUGCCCCGAGAUGAGUUCUCCCUGAGACUUUAGGUCUCCUGAAGGAACGUUGAAGACGACGACGUUGAUAGGCCGGGUGUGUAAGCGCAGCGAUGCGUUGAGCUAACCGGUACUAAUGAACCGUGAGGCUUAACCUU